UACAGAGGUCUCAAGCGUUGUUCGGAUUCAUUGGGCGUAAAGGGUGUGUAGGUGGCGCGCUAAGUCGGGUGUGAAAUUUCGGAGCUUAACUCCGAAACUGCAUUCGAUACUGGCGUGCUUGAGGACUGGAGAGGAGACUGGAAUUCAUGGUGUAGCAGUGAAAUGCGUAGAGAUCAUGAGGAAGACCAGUGGCGAAGGCGGGUCUCUGGGCAGUAACUGACGCUGAGGAGCGAAAGCAUGGGGAGCGAACAGG
rnacentral:rRNA from 1 species